GACGAACGCUGGCGGCGUGGAUUAGGCAUGCAAGUCGAACGGUAUCAUCCUUUCGGGGGUGAGAGAGUGGCGAACUGGUGAGUAACACGUAGGUUAUCUACCCUCAAGACGGGGACAACCCAGGGAAACUUGGGCUAAUACCGGAUGUGAGCAACUUUUAGUUGUUUGAAAGGUGGCGUAAGCUGUCGCUUGGGGAUGAGCCUGCGUCCUAUUAGUUAGUUGGUGAGGUAACGGCUCACCUAGGCAAUGAUAGGUAGGCGGCCUUAACGGGUGGUCGCCCACACUGGGAUUGAGAUACGGCCCAGACUCCUACGGGAGGCAGCAGUCGAGAAUAGUCUACAAUGGUCGGAAGACUGAUAGUGCGACGCCGCGUGAACGAUGAAUCCCUUCGGGAUGUAAAGUUCUUUUAUAUGUGAGCAGUGCUUCUUAUAUUUAACAGUUAUGGGGAGAGAGAUAUUAGCAUAUGAAUAAGCAACGGCUAACUCCGUGCCAGCAGCCGCGGUAAA
rnacentral:rRNA from 1 species